GACGUAGGGUGCAAGCGUUGUCCGGAUUUACUGGGCGUAAAGAGCGCGUAGGCGGUUCGUUAAGUGUAGAGUGAAAUCUCUGGGCUCACCCCAGAAACUGCUCUGCAUACUGGCGGACUAGAGGGUCGCAGAGGCUUGUGGAAUUCCCGGUGUAGAGGUGAAAUUCGUAGAUAUUCGCAAGAACACCAGUGGCGAAGGCGGCUCACUGGUCCGGUACUGACGCUGAGGUGCGAAAGCGUGGGGAGCAAACAGG
rnacentral:rRNA from 1 species